GGAAGUAAACGGUGCAAUCGAAAGUCGCGAGCUAGGGGAAGGCGGGGUGUAAAAUGGAGAGGUGAUUCUCCUGCCACCACGUCACUAGGCUUUCCACCUCACUGAGGGAAGCCCUCUCAUCAUUUUGGGAGAUCAGGUCCACCACAACUGUGCCAUUGGAAAACUUCAUAGUGGAGUUGGAGUCCCGUCUAGCCAAGCAGUUGGAGGUGCAAAGGGAGUACAGAAGCAGACUCGAUAAUCUUUAUGCUGAUUCUCAUCCAUCUUCUAUAUGGUGUGUCAUGGUGUCAGCCUGGAGCUAAUGCAGGAGGAAACCUGAGCAAACAGGAGGAGAACAUGCAAGCUGCACGCACAAAGAAAUGGUGGCGGGAAUCGAAACCCCCCAAGCUGGGAGGUGUGAGGCAACAGUGAUACCCACUGUGCCAGCAUGCUGGCCUCCUACAGUGAAAAUGUACAGCGCAAGACAAAUAGUGGGCGUAUUUUCUUCACAGCUUUUUCUACCUGGGGACCACGAACGCAAUUUUCUCCUGCCGCACCCGUGACAGCUACCUGCGAAGUGUUCCCAGUGCCCCAAUCUGCAAGUUAUCUUUGGAUACCGCGAUAAAGCCCAUUGUCUGCAAGGUGGCUGUUUGCUUGUUGCCUUGCCCCGCAACCCGCCGCUGUUUUGCUUUCACACCGCCAUUACAGUCACACGGAUAAUUGGAGGAAUCAAAAGGGAAGACGAGAGCAGACUUUGUCACCGGUUAGCCUCUUGCUGUCUUAUUAGGCCCCUCCUAGCAGAUGCCCGGGCAACAGUUGCAGCUGGGCAAGAGUGCGUCUCCCAUGCAGUUCUCAUGCCCCUCAUUUAAUAGUCAACAGGCUUAAAGAAGAGGAGAGGAGUGUUUGUAUUCUGGGGCAAAGGUGUUGAUGACCGUAGAACAGGAAAUUUGCAUCGAUUUGCACGUCAUGCCUUGCGGGCUCGUUAUGGUACUUGAUGGCCACGAGAUGUGGGAGUGUCUGCCUGCUUGGUAAUGAUUGGUCAGCUUUACUGCGUGAGCGACGGCUUCCUAGGGUUUCGGCUUUGAAUGAGGCAAUGGAGCCAGGCCUCUUGCGAGAAUGUAGCACGGACCUGAGCAGGCAGAGAGAGGUCUUCGUCCUCCGCGUGGGCAACAUCUCACUCAGAAGAAGCAGGAGAGGUCGCCCAUCAAGGGGCCAGGAAGGGACCAGGGCCCCACUGCAGGGACCCACAGACCUACGGCGGGCCUGUUGGACAGUACCGUCGCUGCAGACUAUGGAUCUGACCUCCUGCAUCGAAAGAAGGUUACAAACAUCUCAUAGGCUUUUCCCCAGAGGGACAUCUUCCUGGGUUCUAAUAUACGGACUGGGCAUGAUUUCUGAAUGCUGUAUGUCUCAGGAAGGACGACCUAAAGGGCCAUGACACUGCCACUUUCCGGUGCUUUCCUGGGAAAAUUCCAGGAUGCGACGAUCUUUUGCAAUGGAGGCUGCGACGACUUCUGAUAUUGCCCGCAAUAUGUUGGAUGUGGGGCUCCCGCAGUGAAUCUCAUGUCUGUGUGGGUUCAUAUCCUGUUAGGGUGAAUCCAUUUUAAAAUGUUUACUGAAGCAGGGCCAUCUACAAGGACAGAACUUUGUCUUGCAAAUAGACUUGAUGUCCUUAACAGCAGUGUACAGUAUUGCGCUGAUAAUUCCCAGUAUUGUGCCCAUUUUGAUGUUGCUGUACUGAAUCAAAAUGUUCUGUUAUUCUGUCAUUUUGUUUUCGAUAUUUGUUUAGGCGAGAAAAUGUAUAUCAAAAGACAUAUGUAAUGCAAAUAUGCAAAAUUAUAUGACGUAUCAAGAUCUUGUAUUAAAAUGCAUUUGCCCAUACCUGUACACCUGCAGAGUCCGUGUAAUGUUGUGAAACUUGUCUAGCUGUGAAGAGUCUUUUUAAAUUGUCAUUAUUUUUAACUUAUUCUGGACAUAGCUGUUUUUUCUGCGACAUGCCUGUGUUACAGUUUGCUGCUUUUUACACCGAGUGCGUACAAAGGUCUCCAUAUUUAAUCUCAGUUUCGUGUCUUUGGUUUUAAAUAUGUGGUUUCACAAUUAAAUAUACUA